GUGGCAUCUUGGUAUUUUCCAUUUAUUCUGCAGGAUCCAUUUCUUUACUACAUUCAGAACUUCCUGGUGAGUUUAAAACCCAAGGAUCAGAGACCUCCAAAAGUGUUGCAGCUCUGGGAGUUCUGGGAGUGCCUUAAAUUGCUCAGACUUGUGUCUUCAGAGCACAGAGGCUCAGAAAUGAAAAUUUUGGAGUGGUGUCUUCAGAGUUUGAGGCCAACACUUUUUUUUUUGGUGCUUAUUUUGUAUAAACUCAGCACUUUCCACCUCAGCCAUGGUGCUCACACUGAGCUUUGGCUGAAGCAGUGACAUCACCCUUCUGAGGAAUUUUCCAACUCACAUUUUGGGUUCUGAACUUGCAAAAAAAGAAAAAAGUGUAGCUCUGUGCUAGAGCCUGGAAAUUAUUUUAUUCUGUUGUUAUUAUCUGAUGGAACUUAAUUCCUUAAAAACCUUGUCCCUGUUGAUAUCGGUCACCUGCAAUUUGUUUGCAGCGUUAUUCCAGUUGGAAAUCACAUUUCCCUGCGUUAUCAACCAUCCCAUGGAUUUGAGCUGCAGGCUGUGGUUCCUUCCCAGGCUCACUGGAUAGCUGGGAAGGAAGGAAUUAUUGGCCAUGAUUGGAUGCAGCUGGUUCAGCUCUCAGAAAAGCUGAAAAACUCUUCUGAAGGACUCUUCAAGAUGGUUUUGAUAAAUUCGAAGUUGGAGAGUUUUUAUUUGCUUUCCAUUAAAAAGCCAUAAAAGAGACGACUGCUCAUAUGUUGCAGGAGGAAUUCCUUUACCCUGUUGAGAGAUGGCAGAUGGAAAACCAGGAAUUUUAUGUUGCAGUGAUAGCCAGCAUGUUGUACAUGGUUGGAGACACAGGGAAGAUCCACACAAGCCUCACCUGCCCCGCUGCUGGAGCCUUGGAGCUGCUGUUUCACACCUGGAACACAAAACCCCACCAACAUUUUGGUGUCCAGGGGAGCACAAGAAUUUGGAUACUGGAGAUCUGAG
rnacentral:lncRNA from 1 species